rnacentral:lncRNA from 1 species
CAGUAUACCAACCUGCUGUUUUCUAGAAAUUAAGUGUGUGGUAAAUCCCUGAAGCAUUUCACAUCCACCAUUUCCUUUGACAGUCUUUCACAGAACUUCACUGAUUAAUUGUCAGACUGAGUAUGCUUGAACUAAGUCAUUAAUUUUGUCUGGAAAGGUAUCAUUCCAGAGCACCUUCCCUAGCAAGAUGAUAUUGCCUGCAUUAUUAAAUACGUUCUCUAGUGCCUGUCAUACAUAAACCCUCUGCUCCCUAAGCACAGAUCGCCUCUAUUUACCUGCUGUUCACGGAUGGAGACAAUAAAGAAUUCCCAGGCCUCUUAACUGUGGUCUGACAAUGAUGAAGUGAGCAGGAAGAAUGGAGACAUACUGAAGAGAGAGGGAGUUAAAAUGCAAAUGUCUUCAAUAUUUAACCAAGAGAUCGAUGAAAGCAAAUUGUUCUCUGACAACCAGCUAGUUACUUUGCUUCAGGUGAAAUACUGCUCUAAGUACUACCAUUACGAGAGAGUCUACUACUACCAUUGUGAGGAGUUUUUUCUCUUUAUUUUCCAUUACUUCCUGCAUUUCUUUUCCACCCUAUUUUUGUUAUCUCUCCUUCAAGAGUCUCCUUAUAAGAUAAACCUGGAAUUAUGCAGUAGUACAAACCAUCUAGUUGCUACAGAGUUGUGUAUCAGUCAAGCUCCA